rnacentral:lncRNA from 1 species
AUAAGUUGCAAUUUGGUAAUUACUGCAUUUAUAGAAAUCUGGCUCCCUUCCUCACCACCCUCAAAGCCCAAGAAAACAAGGGGAAGAAAUGAAGACAAGAACACGAGGGAAGCAGGCGAGAAAGAACACACCAUGAAGAUCAACUCAUGGGAAUGGGAAUUCUCCAACAAAAUCUGCCAACAAAAACAUCUGAAGCCAAUAAACAUUUCUGGAUUGUAUAACCGUAUAUUUUCUGAUGCCUACAUCUGAGCAGCCUACUACACAGCAUUUGGAUUGGCAGUCAGCAUUUUCAAUGGGUAUUUUGGAGGAAGAAAAAACAAAAGUAACCGGAAACUUCCAUGGUGCUUGAAGGAACACAGACAGUGUCCACUCGGUCUUAUAGACGGCAAAUAGCUGACGGGAAGGUCAUGUCUUUUUCAGGAAUUGAUUAAACAUUACACACCUUAAACUUCUGACUUCUCAAGUUGUCUGUCUAUAUGUGUUGAGUUCCUGUGUUGUCAUCUUAGAGCCAUUGAAACAUCUUUCCUAAAACCAGGCAUUUUUCCCAUUGGUAAAAGUCACAGUCAUGACCUCUUACUGACACUGGUCAGUAGACGCUGAGUGUUCAGGUGAGUGGGACACUCCCCCUCAGACCUGGACACUUCCUAACUUAGAAUUUAUUUCUAGUUGUAAUUUUCUGAAUUGAGCUACUUUAUAUCAUGUGGUAACCCUCAAAGUGUACAUCAGUUCUAAUUAGACACUCCAGCAAGUCAUCCAGAAUUCCUCUGG